rnacentral:snoRNA from 1 species
CUGCAGCCAUUUUAGCCAAUUAUACACUACCCCCGCCCCCACAAAGACUUGAGUGAAAAGGCUAUACACAGCAGCUUUCCCAUCAGUGUAUACAGCCUGUUGCUAACACAGGUUGCCCUAAGGGACAAUGAUGGAGCU